GACGAACGCUGGCGGCGUGGAUUAGGCAUGCAAGUCGAACGGUAUCAUCCUUUCGGGGGUGAGAGAGUGGCGAACUGGUGAGUAACACGUAGGUUAUCUACCCUCAAGACGGGGACAACCCAGGGAAACUUGGGCUAAUACCGGAUGUGAGCAACUUUUAGUUGUUUGAAAGGUGGCGUAAGCUGUCGCUUGGGGAUGAGCCUGCGUCCUAUUAGUUAGUUGGUGAGGUAACGGCUCACCUAGGCAAUGAUAGGUAGGCGGCCUUAACGGGUGGUCGCCCACACUGGGAUUGAGAUACGGCCCAGACUCCUACGGGAGGCAGCAGUCGAGAAUAGUCUACAAUGGUCGGAAGGCUGAUAGUGCGACGCCGCGUGAACGAUGAAUCCCUUCGGGGUGUAAAGUUCUUUUAUAUGUGAGCAGUGCUUCUUAUAUUAACAGUAUGGGGAGAGAGAUAUUAGCAUAUGAAUAAGCAACGGCUAACUCCGUGCCAGCAGCCGCGGUAAUCUCG
rnacentral:rRNA from 1 species